rnacentral:lncRNA from 1 species
UUUUCGUAAUUGACUACCAUCUUGAAUGGAUCGAGAGUCAAUUAUGUUAUUUUGGGGAGUUUGAGUUUCGUUCGUACGUAAAGUUAUUGUUGGAAAUUUUAGGACAGCGGAAACUUACAAACUGAAUAACCAACGUAUCGAGAAACCGGAAUCAGAUCGGAUUGCUUGUUUUGCUAGCCUACUUGGAUCGUCGUGAACUCGAUACUUCU